GCCCAGAUGGGAUUAGCUUGUUGGUGAGGUAACGGCUCACCAAGGCGACGAUCCCUAGCUGGUCUGAGAGGAUGACCAGCCACACUGGAACUGAGACACGGUCCAGACUCCUACGGGAGGCAGCAGUGGGGAAUAUUGCACAAUGGGCGCAAGCCUGAUGCAGCCAUGCCGCGUGUAUGAAGAAGGCCUUCGGGUUGUAAAGUACUUUCAGCGGGGAGGAAGGUGUUGUGGUUAAUAACCGCAGCAAUUGACGUUACCCGCAGAAGAAGCACCGGCUAACUCCGUGCCAGCAGCCGCGGUAAUACGGAGGGUGCAAGCGUUAAUCGGAAUUACUGGGCGUAAAGCGCACGCAGGCGGUCUGUCAAGUCGGAUGUGAAAUCCCCGGGCUCAACCUGGGAACUGCAUUCGAAACUGGCAGGCUUGAGUCUUGUAGAGGGGGGUAGAAUUCCAGGUGUAGCGGUGAAAUGCGUAGAGAUCUGGAGGAAUACCGGUGGCGAAGG
rnacentral:rRNA from 1 species